UACGAGGGGGGCGAGCGUUGUUCGGAAUUAUUGGGCGUAAAGGGCGCGUAGGCGGUGCGGUAAGUCACCUGUGAAACCUCUGGGCUUAACUCAGAGCCUGCAGGCGAAACUGCCGUGCUGGAGUGUGGGAGAGGUGCGUGGAAUUCCCGGUGUAGCGGUGAAAUGCGUAGAUAUCUGGAGGAACACCGGUGGCGAAGGCGGCAUCCUGGACCAACACUGACACUGAGGAGCGAAAGCCAGGGGAGCAAACGGG
rnacentral:rRNA from 1 species